rnacentral:rRNA from 1 species
CAUCGCCUCUUGCAUCCCAAAGUAUAAGAGGUCCCACCUGCCCUGUGACUCUAAGUUUAACGGCCGCGGUAUUCUAACCGUGCGAAGGUAGCGCAAUCAAUUGCCUUUUAAAUGAAGGCCUGUAUGAAUGGUAUAACGAGGGUCUGACUGUCUCUUUUUUCUAGUCAGUUAAACUGAUCUGUCCGUGCAGAAGCGGACAUUAUUAUACAAGACGAGAAGACCCUAUGGAGCUUUAGACACUAGCCAACUGUGAAUGAGCGACUGAACUAUACAAGUCUUAAAUACCCACAGCCUCUGGUAAUGUAGUCUUAGGUUGGGGCGACCACGGGAGAAAAUAAAGCUCCCAAGCAGACCGGGAAAACCCUUAAGCCCAGAGUUGCAACUCUAAGCCGCAAAAAUUUUGACUGAAAUGAUCCGGUUGAAAAACCGAUUAACGAACCAAGUUACCCUAGGGAUAACAGCGCAAUCCUCUCCCAGAGUCCCUAUCGACGAGGGGGUUUACGACCUCGAUGUUGGAUCAGGACAUCCUAAUGGUGCAGCCGCUAUUAAGGGUUCGUUUGUUCAACGAUUAAAGUCCUACGUGA